rnacentral:rRNA from 1 species
UCGGGCCCGAGUUGUAAUUUGUAGAGGAUACUUUUGAUGCGGUGCCUUCCGAGUUCCCUGGAACGGGACGCCAUAGAGGGUGAGAGCCCCGUCUGGUUGGAUGCCAAAUCUCUGUAAAGUUCCUUCGACGAGUCGAGUAGUUUGGGAAUGCUGCUCUAAAUGGGAGGUAUAUGUCUUCUAAAGCUAAAUACCGGCCAGAGACCGAUAGCGCACAAGUAGAGUGAUCGAAAGAUGAAAAGCACUUUGAAAAGAGAGUUAAAAAGUACGUGAAAUUGUUGAAAGGGAAGCGUUUAUGACCAGACUUGGGCUUGGUUAAUCAUCUGGGGUUCUCCCCAGUGCACUUUUCCAGUCCAGGCCAGCAUCAGUUUUCCCCGGGGGAUAAAGACUUCGGGAAUGUGGCUCUCUUCGGGGAGUGUUAUAGCCCGUUGUGUAAUACCCUGGGGGGGACUGAGGUUCGCGCAUCUGCAAGGAUGCUGGCGUAAUGGUCAUCAACGACCCGUCUUGAAACACGGACCAAGGAGUCGUCUUCGUAUGCGAGUGUUCGGGUGUCAAACCCCUACGCGUAAUGAAAGUGAACGCAGGUGAGAGCUUCGGCGCAUCAUCGACCGAUCCUGAUGUUCUCGGAUGGAUUUGAGUAAGAGCAUACGGGGCCGGACCCGAAAGAAGGUGAACUAUGCCUGUAUAGGGUGAAGCCAGAGGAAACUCUGGUGGAGGCUCGCAGCGGUUCUGACGUGCAAAUCGAUCGUCAAAUAUGGGCAUGGGGGCGAAAGACUAAUCGAACCUUCUAGUAGCUGGUUUCCGCCGAAGUUUCCCUCAGGAUAGCAGUGUUGAACUCAGUUUUAUGAGGUAAAGCGAAUGAUUAGGGACUCGGGGGCGCUAUUUAGCCUUCAUCCAUUCUCAAACUUUAAAUAUGUAAGAAGCUCUUGUUGCUUAAUUGAACGUGAGCAUUCGAAUGUAUCAACACUAGUGGGCCAUUUUUGGUAAGCAGAACUGGCGAUGCGGGAUGAACCGAACGCGAGGUUAAGGUGCCAGAGUAGACGCUCAUCAGACACCACAAAAGGUGUUAGUACAUCUUGACAGCAGGACGGUGGCCAUGGAAGUCGGAAUCCGCUAAGGACUGUGUAACAACUCACCUGCCGAAUGUACUAGCCCUGAAAA